AGCUUAAGUACGCACAUGUUCUCUGAGACUGGCAUGGACAGCAACACUGAUCUCAAGAAUGUUGAUACUGGAAAGGAUAAUUUGGAUUUCCCCAAAUAUGACCAUUUAUCUUGUAUUGGUAUUAUUGUUGGCUUCAAAGAUGGUGAUAUUGAAGUAAAAUGGGCUACUGGUUUUACAAGCAUGGUAAGAGACUCUUCUUUCUGUUCUUUUAUUUUUUCAAGAGUUUGUUCUAUUCCAAACACACUUGGUGUCGAUGGACAUGUCCAAGAAUCAACGAAGGCAUAUGAAACUCAUGUUCAUGAUUUCACCUGGACGAUCGAUCGGGGCACAAUUGUUGAACCAGUAGAAGAGGUUAUACCCCCGAACCACCAUUGUUGUCACCAAUACAACUAAAAGUUACAUCAUUUCACAGUUUCGACUAUCAAGCUAUAUGCUUUGAGUUCGGUAUCUCUCAACAUUUUUCUAUACUAUACUUGCCACACAUAUUACCCAUUUUCCGUAGCUGUUCUAACUUUUUAAUAACUCCUUACUUACUGCAAGUUGUUUUUGCCCUCGUAGCCCUCCAUCAUAAGCUUCAAAUGCAAGCAGAAUUCAAGAUGAUCUCAUCAUUGAUUAUCAGGAGGACCAAUACUGAUAAAAAUCACCUAUUGCCAUUCACUGCACCAGCAACUCUAGAAAGCAGCAAACGCAAGCUGUACCAGAUCAUGAUGGAGGAAGACUGAAAGGUAAUUUUUAUCUGGAGAUGCCCAACUCUGAAAGCAGCCAAAAGGUAGAACUAUGUAAAUAUAAUAGGAUGUAAAUAUCUAAAUAAUACCGCCAGAAAGACAAACUAAUCAAUUGCCAACUAUAUUUACAAUAUCUAACUAUCUCUAUA